CUACGGGAGGCAGCAGUAAGGAAUAUUGGUCAAUGGGCGCAAGCCUGAACCAGCCAUCCCGCGUGAAGGAAGAAGGCGCUAUGCGUUGUAAACUUCUUUUUCAGGGGAAGAAUGUCCCGCACGUGUGCGGGAUUGCCGGUACCCUGUGAAUAAGCAUCGGCUAACUCCGUGCCAGCAGCCGCGGUAAUACGGAGGAUGCGAGCGUUAUCCGGAUUUAUUGGGUUUAAAGGGUGCGUAGGCGGACUGAUAAGUCAGUGGUGAAAUCCUGCAGCUUAACUGUGGAAUUGCCGUUGAUACUGUUAGUCUUGAGUAUGGUUAAGGUAGGCGGAAUGUGUAAUGUAGCGGUGAAAUGCUUAGAUAUUACACAGAACACCGAUUGCGAAGGCAGCUUACUGAACCAUAACUGACGCUGAGGCACGAAAGCGUGGGGAGCGAACAGGAUUAGAUACCCUGGU
rnacentral:rRNA from 1 species